rnacentral:lncRNA from 1 species
AGACUAAAAACAUAGCCAAAAAUCUAAACUUUCUGACCUUAGUCUUCAAAGCUCAAAUGGCCUUAAGAAACUAAUCCUAAUCCCUAAUAUGGCCUCGGACAGCCUCCUCAAAGCCCAUUGGUCAUGAUUUUUGACUAAUAGGAAUGGAGAUUUUCAUCAUUCAUUUCCAUUCAUCUAAAUUGGUAUCUUAAUUACUCUUUUUCUACCAAAAUCCUUCUUCAAUCCUUUUUCUUAUAAGAUUUACAUAAUGUAUGCUC